rnacentral:tRNA from 1 species
GGGGAUUUAGCUCAGUGGUAGAGUGCUUGCCUAGCAAGCACAAGGCCCUGGGUUCAGUUCCCAGCUCCU